AUGACGUGCCUGCGGCCCUCCAGGACCAGGGUUGCCGACCCCUGGACUAGAGUCCCGUCCAGGGUUGCCGACCCCAGGACUAGAGUCCCGUCCAGGGUUGCCGACCCCAGGACUAGAGUCCCGUCCAGGGUUGCCGACCCCAGGACUAGAGUCCCGUCCAGGGUUGCCGACCCCAGGACUAGAGUCCCGUCCAGGGUUGCCGACCCCAGGACUAGAGUCCCGUCCAGGGUUGCCGACCCCAGGACUAGAGUCCCGUCCAGGGUUGCCGACCCCAGGACUAGAGUCCCGUCCAGGGUUGCCGACCCCAGGACUAGAGUCCCGUCCAGGGUUGCCGACCCCAGGACUAGAGUCCCGUCCAGGGCCAGGGUUGCCGACCCCUGGACUAGAGUCCCGUCCAGGGUUGCCGACCCCUGGACUAAAGUCCCGUCCAGGGCGUGCACGCGUACAUCAACCUGCCUCAUGCUACAGAGACAGAGAUCUGCUGCCAUGAGUGGAGGUGAUAUGGUCUGUGGUGGUUCUGGCUCACACAAGGCUACUUACAUAUUUUGUCAUCAAGUGGGAGAAGUCGAUGCAUAUUUCUCAACAGUGAAAUGUAAUGAUGUUCAGCAUGGCAUCUCAGAAUCAAACAUUACUAAAGUCUGCAUCAUAUUUCAUACAAUCCUAUAGGAUUAAUAACCAUGAAAUGUUAAUGAGUUUAAAAUCAAAAUCUAAGAAACAAGCAAACAAAUAGAUGAGUUCAUUAAUGGGGAGGUGUUGGAUAGUGACAAUAGGAAGUCAGUCCAACAGUUA
rnacentral:lncRNA from 1 species